ACCAGUGUGGCACAGUGGUUUGAGUGUUGGACUAUGACUCUAGAGACCAGGGUUCGAUUCCCACUUGGCC